UUGCUUAAACCGGCAUUAACUUGAGCUGAUCUCUUUUUACUUACAGAGUAAUAAGAAAGCCUGUAUGAAGAGGUUGAUGAAGGUGGAAGAACGCUCGGGAAAUGUACCAAGACCAUGGCAAAUAGAGGUCUUAAAUCUCCCUGCCCUCAGGGAGAUAGGAUGAUUUGUGGAAAAAUCUGAUAAUGGAACGGCAAAAGUGUGCUUAAAGACAAGCUAAGCACACUUUUCUCCUUAGUCGUGUGUCAACUGUGAGUCAAUCAACAAUAAUACAUUAACGACUCCAAAAGAAGAUGGAAUGACUUAUCAUUGCUUUCCCGUACACGGGAUAAUGAAAGAGAAUUGGCGCCAGAUGGUAGCAAGAGAGAAAUGUACAAACCAAAUAAGUUAGC